CAUGUCUCUCUUGGCCCCCAGCACUGAUGGUGCCAGCUGUUAGCCAACCGUAGGGAUGAAUUUCAAAACAACAAGCACAGAAGUAGAAGGGUGCUGGAGGGGCAGAUAUGUUUUUCCUCUGACUAUCCUAAACCCUCCCACAAAGCCCCUCGCUUCCCAGGCCAUGUUUUUGUGGUGAAGAUUGACCACGGACCAGCAUCUGCAGGCAGACAUUCAAUCAAUCUAGCCCUGGGCUACAGGAUCAAACACAGGACACCCUGUUCAACUGGAAUUUCAGAUAGCCUGUGAGCUUCACCUCUGGACAGCAACCCCAAAACUAUCUUCAGAGUUCAAGCCUGUGGUUCAAGCCUGGGCACAACUUUUCAAGAAGCCCCAGGUGAGAGUGACCCAUUUCCCCACUUUUGAUCCAAGGUCAAGGCAGCAGAAGGCUUUGCCUGAGGCCACACAGUGGGUAUCUGGCGUGAACACAUGGGUGGUGCUUGGCUCUUUCUUUCUCUCUUUCUUUCUUUCUCUCUCUCCUUCCUUCCCUCCUUCCUUCCUUCCUUCCUUCCUUCCUUCCUUCCUUCCUUCCUUCCUUCCUUCCUUCCUUCCUCAUUCCUUCCUUCCUUAUUUCUUCUUCUUUCUUUCUUUUUUUCUUUCUUUCUUUCUUUCUUUCUUUUCUUUCUCUCUCUCUCUCUUUCUUUCUUUCUUUCUUUCCUUCUUUUCUUUCUUUCUUCCCUUUUCUUUCUCUGAAUCUCAUUCUGUCACCCGGGCUGGAGUGCAAUGGCACAAUCAUGGCUUACUGCAACCUCCCCCUCCCGGAUUCAAGUGAUUCUCCUGCCUCAGCCUCCCAAGUAGCUGGGAUAAAAGGUGCAUGCCACCAUACCCAACUAUUUGUAUUUUUAGUAGAUACUGGUUUUCACCAUGUUGGCCAGGAUGGUCUCGAUCUCUUGACCUCAUGAUCCGCCUGCCACAGACUCCCAAAUUGCUGGAAUUAUGGGCAUGAGCCACUGCACCUUCCCAGUACUUGGCACUUUCAAAUGCCCCUCAGACCACCACUGGGUGAGUUGGGUGUUGGUAGCUCCAUUUUACAGAGAAGGAAAGAGGAGCGUGUACCGGGGCUCACAGGAAGUCUAGCCCCUAUCUAUAAGACUAACCCUGACUAAUGCUAACCCUAACCCUAACCCAAGGCUUCCG
rnacentral:lncRNA from 1 species